GGAGAGGUGGCUCAGCUUGGUACGGCGCCGGACUCGAAAUCCGGUAAGUGUUUAACGCACACGCGGGUUCAAAUCCCGUCCUCUCCU
rnacentral:tRNA from 1 species